UCCCUUCUCUCUCCUCUCGUUUUCCCUUCCUUUUCUCCCUCUCCUUCCACUACUCCUCUGAUCUCUCUCGUUGCCCUGCCUCAUCAAGCAACGCAGCUUGCCCCCUCCUCAAAAUACAGUCCGGGCGUUUGUCUUUUGGCCCGACUCACCUGGAUCUGAUGACCUGUGGCGCUACGGAGUUUGCUUAUUUAAGCCUGAAGCAGGUAAAUCAAUCAAUCUGUGGUGGAAAGAGAUUUAGUGCGAGAGAGUAGUACGUGGUCGCUAAAGAAAAGGGAAGUUGUGCUAUCUACUGGAGAGGGGAAGAGUAAUAAGCACAAAUAUCGAAGCUGUACUGUCCAAUGGGGAGGCGGAGGGAGCAGGUACGGCGGCCCUGGAGGGAGCAGGGGCGGCGGCUGGCGGUAAAAGAGAAGAAGUGAGAAAGAGAAAGGAGUGGAGGCGGUAAUGGGGAGAG